UAAACUACGAUUAGAUACCCUAUUAUUUUAAAAGUUAAAUAUUAACAGUACUUAAGUAGUAGUAGUUAUGAGCUUGAAACUUAAAGAAUUUGGCGGUGUUUUAGUCUCUUCAGAGGAACCUGUCCCAUAAUCGAUAGUCCACGUUAUACCUAACUUGAUUUAGUUUUCAGCUUGUAUACCGCCGUCGUCAGAAUGUCCUUGAAGGGUUUAAAUUUUCUUGAAUUUUAAUUAAAAAUGAUGUCAGGUCAAGGUGCAGUUUAUGGUCAAGAGGAGAUGGGUUACAAUAAAUAUAUUUAUAUGGAUAAUGGUAUGAAAUUACUAUUAGAAGGUGGAUUUGAUAGUAAAAUUUUAAAUUAAAGUAAUUUGAUUUUAGCUCUAAAACAUGCACACAUCGCCCGUCGCUCUUA
rnacentral:rRNA from 1 species